rnacentral:rRNA from 1 species
UACGGAGGGUGCAAGCGUUGCUCGGAAUUAUUGGGCGUAAAGGGUAGGUAGGUGGUCUCAUUUGUCUGGGGUGGAAGCCUUGAGCUUAACUCAAGAAGUGCCCCAGAAACGGUGAGACUGGAGUCCUGGAGAGGGUCGUGGAAUUCCCGGUGUAGCGGUGAAAUGCGUAGAGAUCGGGAGGAACACCAGAGGCGAAAGCGGCGACCUGGACAGGUACUGACACUCAACUACGAAAGCGUGGGGAGCAAACAGG